ACUGGUUCAAAGAGUUCUCUUGAUUCUAUUCAUGAAUACUUUGAUUCUGAUAUUAUCGUUACUGCUGAUGACUCACUUUAUCCUGUUGAAAGUAUUGAAAGUUUAUCUCUUACUUCUUCUAGUAGCUCAUCUCUCUUUAUGAGUGAUGUUUAUUUUCGUUUCUGAAAUAACGGAUAAGGGUUACUCUAUUCUGUUUGAGCCGGAUAAAGUGAGAAUCUUUUCUGGUGUUAAUAUUUCUGGCACUAUUGUUACUGAAAGGAGAAAGGUAAACAAGUUAUAUGUCUUAUCUACUGGUGAUUCUUAUGUUAAUAAUACUC
rnacentral:lncRNA from 1 species